AGCUACUCCGUGCCAGCAGCCGCGGUAAUACGGNGGGUGCAAGCGUUGUUCGGAAUUAUUGGGCGUAAAGAGCGUGUAGGCGGCUUGAUAAGUCAGAUGUGAAAGCCCUGGGCUUAACCCAGGAAGUGCAUUNGAAACUGUCUCNCUAGAAUANGGGAGGGGGAAGUGGAAUUCCUGGUGUAGNGGUGAAAUNCGUAGAUAUUGGGAGGAACACCGGUGGCGAAGGCGGCNAUCUGGNANGCNACUGACGCUGAGACGCGAAAGCAUGGGNAGCAAACAGGAUUAGAUACCCUGGUAGUCCAUGCCGUAAACGAUGGGCACUAGGUGUCGCGGG
rnacentral:rRNA from 1 species